rnacentral:tRNA from 1 species
GCCUUCGUGGUGUAGUGGUCAGCACGCUCGACGCGUAACCGAGAGGUCAGUGGUUCGAUUCCCGGCGAAGACG